rnacentral:rRNA from 1 species
UACGUAGGGUGCAAGCGUUGUCCGGAAUUAUUGGGCGUAAAGAGCUCGUAGGCGGUCUGUCGCGUCGGCUGUGAAAACCCGAGGCUCAACCUCGGGCCUGCAGUCGAUACGGGCAAACUAGAGUACUGCAGGGGAGACUGGAAUUCCUGGUGUAGCGGUGGAAUGCGCAGAUAUCAGGAGGAACACCGGUGGGCCGAAGGCGGGU